UACGUAGGGUGCGAGCGUUGUCCGGAAUUAUUGGGCGUAAAGAGCUUGUAGGUGGCUUGUCGCGUCUGCUGUGAAAAAUCCGAGGCUCAACUCCGGAUCUGCGGUGGGGUACGGGCAGACUAGAGUGAUGUAGGGGGAGACUGGAAUUCCUGGUGUAGCGGUGAAAAUGCGCAGAUAUCAGGAGGAAACACCGAUGGCGAAAGGCAGAUCUCUGGGGCCUAACUGACGCUGAGGCGCGAAAAGCGUGGGGGGAGCAAAACAGG
rnacentral:rRNA from 1 species